GGUGUGGCCUUGUUUGAGGAAAUGUGUCACUGGGGAUGGGCUUUGAGGUUUCAGAUGCUCAGGCCAGGCCCAGUGUCACUCUCUUUUCCUAUGCCUGCUGAUCCU
ensembl:miRNA